rnacentral:rRNA from 1 species
AACUACAUUGAAAUAAUUAACGAUGAAUGCACCUCAUCCCGUCCGAUUUGAGAAGUUAAGUAUCGUCGAGCCACAUCAGUACUGAGGUUGGAGACAACUUGGGAACCUGUGGUGCUGUAGUCU